AGAGAGAGACAUGCGCGCAUAUCAAUAAGCGGAGGAAAAGAAACUAACUAGGAUUCCCCUCAGUAACGGCGAGUGAAGCGGGAAGAGCUCAAAUUUGAAAUCUUCAAGGUUCUACCUUGACGAAUUGUAGUUUAAAGAAGUGUUUUCUGUUGGAGGUUUUGGUAAAAGUUCUUUGGAAUAGGACAUCAUAGAGGGUGAGAAUCCCGUAUUUGACCAUUUACUUUCAGCUUUGUGAUACACUUUCAAAGAGUCGGAUUGUUUGGGAAUGCAGUCCAAAAUGGGUGGUAAAUUUCAUCUAAAGCUAAAUAUUGGCGAGAGACCGAUAGCGAACAAGUACCGUGAGGGAAAGAUGAAAAGAACUUUGAAAAGAGAGUUAAACAGUACGUGAAAUUGUCAAAAGGGAAGCGUUUGACACCAGUGUUGUUUUCUCGAAAAUCAAUUAAAAAAGGCAGGAUUUUGUGUUGUAUUGACUUUAUCAGCUUUCUGCACUCUUUUCUUGUCUUUUUUAAUGCACUUUUCGUUUAACAAGUCAACAUCAAUUUCUUUUGUUGUAAAAGGGUCAUUGGAAGGUGGCUUUCUUUUCGGAGAAAGUGUUUAUAGCCUUUGGCCUCUGCAAUCGGAGAGAUUGAGGUCUGCAGCGUAGAUCCUUCGGGGUUAGAUGCAUUUGUGCUAAGUUAUAGCCUUUCAUAGACAACUUGUCGACUAUGAUCAGUCAUGUAGCUUACUCGCUUAUGCUAUUUUACCUACGCUUAGGAUGUUGAUGUGAUACUGCGAGCA
rnacentral:rRNA from 1 species